rnacentral:lncRNA from 1 species
UUUUUUUUUUUUUUAACAGUUUUUGCCUGAGUUUAUUUGUAGAAACAGCAUAGGACACCGGUCAUCUGCAAAUAGUGUGUGGGGAGGUAUGUCACAGCAGUCUGUCUGUCUUCACACUGGCAGGAGCCUUUUCUAUGGGGCCUUCACAGGGGCCUGGGCACCUUUGGGAGCCUGGGCUGGAGCUGAAGCCUGGGUCUUAGCUGGAGCUUUGGCCUCUGCCUUGGUUUGAACCUUGGGCUUUGGUUGGCAGAGCCUUUGACCCUUGGCCACGUAGCUUCGAAUCUGCUUCCCAAGCUUGGGGUGAGCGAUGAAAGCCAGACGGCUAAGUUUGCAGCAUCUUGGACUUGACGGCCUGAGGCUUCUCCAGGGCCUUGACGGCCUCUGCGCGCGCACUCACUGCCUUUGCAUUGCUGGCCUGCAUCUUCUUCAGGCCUUUCUUGGUGUGCAUCUUGGCAAAGCGCAUGUUCCUCAGGAACUUGGGGUCAACCCCCUUAAGAGAUUCGUAGCUUUGCGACCGGGGUUUCUUGAUGCCAUUUCUGUGCCAUUUUCGGGACUGGUUGUGUGUGGUGUGGUUCUUGGACUUGGCCGUGUCUGCAUGGUAACCCGCGGCUCCCCUUUUAUUGGUUUUUCGAGACAGGGUUUCUCUGAAUAACCCUGGCUGUCCUAAAACUCACUCUGUAGACCAGGCUGGCCUCGAACUCAGAAAUCCUCCUGCCUCUGCCUCCCAAGUGCUGGGAUUAAAGGCGUGUGCCACCACUGUCCGGUGUUUGUUGUUUUUAUUUUAUUUUAUUUUAUUUUAUUUUAUUGAGACAGUUUCUCUGUGUAACAGCUCUGGCUGUCUUGGAACUCACCUUGUAGAUGGGCCAUCCCCAAACUCAAAACAGUCUCAAACUCAACAAAGAUCUGCCAGCCUCUGCCACCCCCCUCCCCAAGUGCCAGGAUAAAAGGUGUACACCUUCACCUGGCCAUGCAUGAACUUUUAUAGAACAAAGAUGAUUAGACCCCUAAGAGGUUAACAGGUAACUGGUAUACAAUAAUUUACUAGGAUCCCAAAACAUGACAAUUUAGUCCCAGCGCUGGGGAGGCAGGGGUUGGUGGAUCUUGGAGUUCAAGGCAGCUGGUCUACAGAUGGAGUUCCAGAACGGCUGGGGCUUUACAGAAAAACUCUGUCUCAAAAUAAUAAUAUUAAUAAUGAUGAUGAUGAUGAAAAAUAUUUUUUUCAUAAAAGCAGAGAAAGCAUGCCCAUUCAUGAGGAAGCCUGUACCUAUGAUUAUAUUCUCCGUUAACUGAAGGCAUUUUAGAAUAUGAUAUCUGGUAUUUACUUCAGAAUAACAAAAAGAAAGGGCUGUGGGUGAUCCAGUUUUUGAUGAACAUGGUGAGGGGCGCAGACUUCUCAAACUCACCCUGCUUUAAUGCAGAAUUUGAUGUUUUCUAUAGGAAAAAAAAAUCCUGAAAUUUGCAUUUUGUGAUUAAAUCGGUGUGCUU